AGUUUUUAAGUGUACUGUGUUUUGCGUAGUGCAUUGGAGUUUGCCCAACUGCUCUAAAUGUGUUUUAGGGACUCAGAGAAGGCAUUUAACUUCAUCCUUCUCAGAUUUUGUUGGGGACACAGUAUGACAUAUUGAGCCCUUUGUUGCAAGCUAUCUGCUCCCUGUACAGCCACUGUGGUCUGCAUAGCUGGCAAUAAGUCAGACUUGUUUUCUAUGGCUGCUGGACACCACCGGGGGUGCCAUUUGCCACUGAUAUUGUUCAUAAUUUUUAUGGACAGAAUUAGUUUUAAUUUAGAAUACAUUUUUAUGGAGGAUGACUGUUUCAGUGGCCUCAGGAUCUCUUUCCUGUUUUUUGUAGAUGAUGUAGUUUUAUUGGUUUCCUCAAACAACGACCUUCAACUUGCACCAGGGCACUUUGUAUCGGAGUGUGAAGCAACUGUGAUGAAAACUAGCACCUCAAAGUCUGAGGCCACGGUUCUCAGUCGGAAAAAGGUGACGUGCUCACUCCAGCAAGGUGCAGCAGCAAAUAAUAAUGCUGGAUUUCCAGUGAUAAGAACUUCCACGGUUCUUGAAUGGAAGAAGUUUAGGGAGCUCAUCUCAAGUUUUGUGUGUGUCAUUAAUCUGGCCUUGUGUGGUGUGACUUGUCCUGGGUUCCUGCCACUCAGUGCCACUCACCUGUGCGGAGUCUGCUGUUACUACUUAAGGUGCCAUCGCUUUCACAAAGUCUAGUUGCUGUGCCGACCAGUAUGAGAGGCGGAGCACAGCUGAAGGACACUUCUGACUGAUAGAUGAAACUUCGUCCCUCUCUGAAACCAC